CUCUAACUCUAUUAUUAUGCUGUGUACUCAAGUCCCAUAGGACUCAAGACAGUUUUCAUAUUCAUCAAUUAAACCCUAACCCUAACUCUAACUCCAAUCGAAGAAGAUGAUGAUGAACAAAUUCAAAACUGCAAUGCUUCCAUUUCAGAAUCUCCAAUUACAAUUUCAAUCUCGUGGCAUAGCAAAAGUACGUUUAAAGUGGGUGAAAAACCGAAGCAUUGAUCACAUAAUCGACAAAGAAACCGAUCUAAAAGCCGCUUCACUUCUCAAAGACGCUAUCAAACGUUCCUCCACCUCUUUCCUCACCGCCAAAACCUUCUCCGAUUGGCAAAAGCUUCUCGGCUUAACCGUCCCCGUUCUCCGUUUCAUCCGCAGGUAUCCUACUCUCUUUCACGAAUUUCCUCACCCUCGUUGGAACUCUCUUCCUUGUUUCCGUUUAACCGAUACAGCGCAAUUGUUAGAUUCUCAAGAACAAUCUAUUUACGCUGUUCACGAAAACGACAUUGUUGAAAGAUUUUCGAAGGUACUUAUGAUGAUGAAAUCAAGGACUGUUCCAAUUCAGUCUCUUUAUCCUCUUAAAUUUGAUUUAGGUUUACCAGAUGCGUUUGAGAAAACUCUAAUUCCUAAAUAUCCUGACAAAUUUCAGUUUGUUAAGGCUGGUAAUGGUGUUUCCGCUAUUCGCCUUGUGGAUUGGUGUGAUGAAUUUGCGGUCUCUGCUUUGCAGAAGAGUAAUCAGUGUGAGAGUGAGAAUGCGAGUGAUCAGUAUAGAGAUUUUAAGAGAGGGAAAACUGCAUUGGUUUUUCCGAUGAGAUUUCCGAGGGGUUAUGGUGGGCAGAAGAAGGUUAGGUUUUGGAUGGAUGAGUUUCAGAAAUUGCCUUAUAUUUCGCCGUAUGCUGAUAGUUCUAAGAUUGAUCCUAAAAGUGAUUUGAUGGAGAAACGCGUUGUUGGGGUUUUGCAUGAGUUUUUGAGUUUGUGUUUGCAUAAGAAAACCAAGAGGAAUUACUUGAGAAGUUUGAGGGAGGAGUUGAAUCUUCCUCAUAAGUUUACUAGGAUUUUUACUAGAUAUCCUGGGAUAUUUUAUCUUUCGUUGAAGUGUAAAACAACUACGGUUACUCUAAGAGAAGGGUAUGCGAGGGGGAAAUUGGUGGAUCCGCAUCCUCUUGCUCGCCAUAGAGAUAAGUUUUACCAUGUAAUGAGGACGGGGCUUCUUUAUCGUGGUGAUGGAUCCUUGAAACUUGGGGAAGAUGCUUCUUUGAUGCUUGAUUCUGUGGAGAAUGAUGAAAUGGGAGACGGAGAUUCUGAGGAAGAGGUUGAAACAAGCGACGAAUUUUGUGAGGGUGAUGUUUCAGAUUCAGAUGAUAGUGAAUGAGGUUUUGUUUUCAAUUAUACCGAAUUGUACUUUUUAUACAUAUUGAGACAAGCAACAUGGUGAUUAGUUUGAAGAAAUUAUUUGCUCUCCACUUACCUGGUUAGUUGCUAGCUCUAUUCCAAACUUGCAAGUAAUUUUGAAUAUGAUGGCUCUGUUAUUAAGAUCAAAUUGUAACAAUUAUGAAUUGGAUAAGUUAUUUGAUCUGUCUUGCUAGGAACCGUGAAACAUUCUUAUAGUUUUCAUUUUAUACUUUGUUUUUUACUAUUAUACUGCUAUAGGGUAUGGUGCAUUUGGGUGUGCUUCUUCUACUUGUUACUAUUAUUAUGAACAUAAAAAAUUGAGGUCUGAAAUCAUUGAUCAAUUUACUGAAAGUACAGUUUGUGGAGUGAAAAUCUCAUUCUCCUCUUUAAAAUUAUAAAUAGGUAGGAAAAUUUGAGUAAAAAAAGAUCAGGGAAAGCUUGAUAAUGAUUUGCAAGUGUUUGUGAGCUUUAUGUUGUUGAUAAAUAAUUGAAUGUGAGUUUAGACAAAAUUUUGUACUCUGAUGUCUGUUGUGCAAUGUUAUACCGAUUCACAUAUGUUGAAUGAUUGGCUACACUGUUGCUAUGAAAUAAUUAGUUUGUUUUCAGCAAAUAUUCACACCAACUAGGGAUAUCAAUCUUCUUUAAAGUGAGAGUAAAUAUUCAUGUUACUGUUGAUCCUGUUUUUCUUGAUGUUAUCUGCAAAGCUUGAAAUCUUUGCCUCAAGUUGGUGAAUAGCAUGACAUUUAAUUAUUUAACUAAUUGAGCAUUGAGAAUUAAAGAAAAAGUAAAUUGGAAUAGCCUCCUAAUGUAAUGUUUUGAUUUUCUUUUAUUUUCAGUUCAGAAUUGAGAAUUAAAGAAAAAGUAAAUUGAAAGUUGCCCUGUUUUUAAUGUUUUGUGCUUCUUGAGUUUGAAUAGUAAUUUGAGUCAACAAAGUUUGAAUAGUAGCUAAGAAUGGGAAACUGGGAAUACAGGAAUUGUGAUUAUACGAGUAAUUAAUGGUUAAUUGAUAGUAACGAGCUACCCCUCAGUUCCAUAAUAUGACUUGUUUGACUAUUUCAAACCAAUAAAAAAAAUGAAUAAUGUUAUGUUGACUAUUUCUAAUUGCAAUGUAUAUUAGAUAGAGUCGACAAUUAUGAUGAUGAAUAUCUUACUGCAUGUGUAUUUAUAAGUAUGAUAUAUAUUGGAGGUUGUCCCACGAUAGAAUCAAAGAAGAUCAUUGAGAGAUCUGUAAUUGUUCAUGACUGAACGUUAUGAAGGUGUUUGAUCCAUAUGGCCAUGAUCAUUGUGUUGAGACCAGCUUGUUUUGUGAUACAAAGUGGGCACCAGUGGGUCCAACAUAUUCUUGAGGUACUUACGACAUGUAAGCAGGCAUCUGGCUGUGGGAGGGGAAUAGGUUAGCUGGUGGAGUAUCAAACCUAACAGCAUCAUUGGCCCAGCAGAUGCGGAUCAAGUACUGUCGUCUGUUUAUUACUGUUUUGAGGGUUAUAGGCUAAUUUUUGUAAAUAUUCAAAGUUUUGAGGGUCAGCACAGUGUCAGGAAUAAGAAGGAAACUGAGUGUAAUAAAGCAAACCUCUAUGGAUUUUAGUUUUCAUAUAGUUGGAUGAGAAUUUUAUGCUUUCUGUUAUAAAGGCAUAGUCUGUCUAAAGCUAGGACGUUUUGAAUUUGUUAUUUUUAUUUUCCCUCAGAUAAUGAUUUACUUCUAUAA